GACGGUUCCCCUUCAGGAUGUCUUCAAAAGGGGAAUAAUAGGGAACACGGAAAAAUUGACCGCACUCAAGGGAUUUCAACCGUGGCUGCCCCCGCAACUGUAAACGGCAGCACCUUUUUAGGGAUUUAUCCGGCCACUGCGAAAGCGGGAAGGUAAAAGGUGCAAAAAAAUGCCGCGAGCCAGGAGACCUGCCGUCAAUCAUA
rnacentral:ncRNA from 1 species